UAUAUCAAUUUUUCUGAGGAAAAGAAAAGCUUUUUAAAGAAGUUCGGGAAUCCCUAAAAGGAACAUAGGCGAAAAAUCAGGCAUACUAGAAGCCAAGAAAGAGGAGAGCUGCAUUGAUCAACAAUGUCAACUUGAGAGAGAGUAAACAGGUUCACUGGAUUGAGAAACUAAGGAAAAAGAAGAUGAAAACUGUCAGACAGUC
rnacentral:lncRNA from 1 species